UUCGGGUGGGCGCUUACCACUUUGUGAUUCAUGACUGGGGUGAAGUCGUAACAAGGUAACCGUAGGGGAACCUGCGGUUGGAUCACCUCCUUA
rnacentral:rRNA from 1 species